rnacentral:rRNA from 1 species
AUUAGAGUUUGAUCCUGGCUCAGGAUGAACGCUAGCGGCAGGCCUAAUACAUGCAAGCCGAGGGAUGUCUGUGUAGCAAUACACAGAUGACCGGCGGACGGGUGCGUAACGCGUACGCAACCUACCCUAUACAGGAGGAUAGCUCCCGGAAACGGGAAUUAAUACUCCAUAGUAAUUAAGUAAGGCAUCUUACUUAAUUUAAAGUCGUAAGACGGUAUAGGAUGGGCGUGCGUCCGAUUAGCUAGUUGGAGAGGUAACGGCUCACCAAGGCGAUGAUCGGUAGGGGUUCUGAGAGGAAGAUCCCCCACACGGGCACUGAGGCACGGGCCCGACUCCUACGGGAGGCAGCAGUAAGGAAUAUUGGACAAUGGGUGGAAGCCUGAUCCAGCCAUGCCGCGUGGAGGAAGAAGGUCCUAUGGAUUGUAAACUCCUUUUGCAGGGGGGAAAUAAGUCCGACUUGUCGGACGAUGAUAGUACUCUGCGAAUAAGCAUCGGCUAACUUCGUGCCAGCAGCCGCGGUAAGACGAAGGAUGCGAGCGUUAUCCGGAUUCACUGGGUUUAAAGGGUGCGUAGGCGGCUUGCCAAGUUUCAGGUUAAAGACUGGUGCUUAACAUCAGGGUUGCCUGAAAAACUGGAGAGCUUGAGAUAGUCAGACGUUGCUGGAAUAUGGCAAGUAGAGGUGAAAUUCAUAGAUAUGCCAUAGAACACCGAAAGCGAAGGCAGGCGACGAUGACUGAUCUGACGCUGAGGCACGAAAGCGUGGGGAGCAAACAGGAUUAGAUACCCUGGUAGUCCACGCUGUAAACGAUGAUGACUUGUUGUUUGGGGCGAAUAGUCCUGAGUGACAAAGCGAAAGCGAUAAGUCAUCCACCUGGGGAGUACGCCGGCAACGGUGAAACUCAAAGGAAUUGGCGGGGGCCCGCACAAGCGGAGGAGCAUGUGGUUUAAUUCGAUGGUACGCGAGGAACCUUACCUGGGCUUGAAAGUUAGGGACGAUCGCUGAAAGGCGAUUUUCGCAGCAAUGCGACCCGAAACUAGGUGCUGCAUGGCUGUCGUCAGCUCGUGCCGUGAGGUGUUUGGUUAAGUCCAUCAACGAGCGCAACCCCUAUUCUUAGUUGCCAACAGGUAAAGCUGGGGACUCUAAGGAGACAGCCGGCGUAAGCUGGAGGAAGGAGGGGACGACGUCAAGUCAUCACGGCCCUUACGUCCAGGGCUACACACGUGCUACAAUGGUAGGUAACAGAGGGCAGCGACACUGUAAAGUGAAGCGAAUCCCCAAAACCCUACCCCAGUUCGGAUUGAGGUCUGCAACUCGACCUCAUGAAGCUGGAUUCGCUAGUAAUCGCGCAUCAGCCACGGCGCGGUGAAUACGUUCCCGGGCCUUGCACACACCGCCCGUCAAGCCAUGGGAGUCGGGGGCGCCUAAAGUCGAUUCCCGGAAGGGGUUGCCUAAGGCGAAACCGAUGACUGGGGCUAAGUCGUAACAAGGUAACCAA